rnacentral:rRNA from 1 species
UACGGAGGGGGCUAGCGUUGUUCGGAAUUACUGGGCGUAAAGCGUGCGCAGGCGGUUCGCUGUGUCCGAUGUGAAAGCCCCGGGCUUAACCUGGGAAUGGCAUUGGAAACUGGCGGGCUUGAGUGUGGCAGAGGGGGGUGGAAUUCCGGGUGUAGCGGUGGAAUGCGUAGAGAUCCGGAAGAACACCAGUGGCGAAGGCGGCCCGCUGGGCAGUGGCUGACGCUGAGGCGCGACAGCGUGGGGAGCAAACAGG